rnacentral:lncRNA from 1 species
UAGCUGCAAAAAUACCUCUAGGUGUUCCGGACACUAUGUGCCUAUAGCUGGCUACAGGAUCACAGCAGCCAAAAGCCCUCCAGGAAGAAGUAUGGAAGCAGCUUUAUUGAGGUUGCCAGCAAGGAUUACGGCUUCUUUGACGCAUGAACGUUUUGGAAUUUAUGAGGAUUUUAAUGAGGAUUUUCUGAAAAAAAUAAAAAUUGUUAUGUUCUGGGCAUUCAUCUAUCCUCUCAUCAGCUUUUGAUCUACCACAUCUUGGGAUAUGAAUAAUGUUUCUGUUAAUGAGCCAGCCUCUGGGAACCAUCACUCUCCUAUUGCUUAAGAUUUCCAGCAUUGAAUGAGAGAGUCUCUUUACAUCCUC